AAAAAACAUGCACGUUCUCCGCCUCCUCCCCCGACCUGCCAGUUUCCAUCCCCAGAUCUCUCUCUCGCUCUUCCUAACCAGAACCACGAGGGCGAUCAUCUCCCCCGACCUCCAACUCCACCGCUCCAGGCUCCGGCAGCUAGGUCGCCGCCAUCUCCCAUCCACUCAACAUCUCCAACAUAUCCGAAUCUUUGCGCGCGGCGCACAGAUGCCGCUCGGCCUUGACAUCCCCAUUGGCCUUGCCUCCUGAGUCCUGACCCAAGUCCUAGGGUCACGGUCCAAGAUUGGAAGGGCGACAUGCGGCUUGGUGGUGCUGCGGCGGACGGCAACGAUCCAAGAUUGGCAGGUUACUAACAGAAGCCACGGACACCAGGAACACUCGAUUGAUAUCUCCCUCCCUCUAUUCCUCUCUUGGGGUUUUUCUGAUUGGUAUUUUUGUGGACGGAAGACAAAUCUAAGGAAGAAGAUGAGGUGGGAAGCUAACCAGAAACUUGCCGGACCUCGAGAAACCCUGUGUUCUGGAUCUGGGAGGCACCAACUUCAGCGUGCUGAGGGUGCAGCUGGGAGGAAAAGAUAGGCGUGUCGUUGACACUGAAUCCGAGCAAGUGUCGAUCCCAGAGGAAAUCAUGCAUGGCACAACUGAGUGUGCACUAUAUGGGUUUGCUCUAGGGCAAGGAGGCGGUGACGAGCUGAAGGCGGCCAAAGCAAUAUCUUCCCCGUCUAUGAGCUCCAAAUAUGUGUCUCAGCAUGAAGGAUUCGGACAUGGCCAUUGGAGUUUGAACAUGACACCGUUGAUGGAGAGAAGAAGAGAUCCCCAUAUACACUGUGAACAAUUGGGUUGACGGCGUCGCAUCUCGGAACACACUACAAGAAAUAUGUAGCUGUCUCCCUCCCUUAUACAUGUUGUUUUGACUCAGGCGAGAUAUAUUAUAAUUUACCUGACAUGAACUCUAUUUAUCAUGUAAAAUGUACAAUCUAAUUAUGGGUUUUAAGUGUUGUUUC